UAUAAAUAAAUACAUAAUUUUAUGAAUAAAUACAUAUUUCCUAAAUAUUUAUACAUGUAUGUGCAUGUGUUUAUAAAUACAAAAUUAAUAUCCACAGUACACAGAAAUAUAUUAUAUAAACACAAACUUUUAUUCCGGAUGCGAUUAAUCGUUUGACAGCCCUAAAAAAAUAUUGUAUUUUUUUGUUCUUUUGAACACAAAAUGAGAUAUUUUGAAGAAUUUAGGAAAACAAACAGUUCUGGGCACCUUUGACUGCCAUUUAAGUUUUCCUAUGGUAGUUGAUGUCCCGGAACUGAAAAUUACUAACAUUCUUCCAAAUAUCUUUCUCCGUGUUCAUCAGAACAAAGUAAUUUCUACAGGUAUUAAAUUACAUGAGGGUGAGUAAAUGAUGACCGAAUUUUCAUUUUUGGGUGAACUAUCCCUUUAAAUCAGCCCAAAGCAACAUAUCAAUCCAGAAUUCUUGUCUCGACACAUCACAGCUCGUGUUGGAGAAUCACUUCAGUCUUUAUAAAGUUUAAAGCCAGCACUACUGUAAUAUCCGGGUGAUGUUUAAGAAGAGCUGGAACAGAUUCACACAGACAGGGACGACAGAGGACAGAUGGGGCUUCCAGUUCCUCUAUGAUAAACACACAGUGACGGACCGACAAAGUGCCCGCACAUCCCAGCAUGCCUUAAUUAUCCUGGACAGCCUGAAGAGACGUGGAGCCAAUGAAGAGAGAUGAACAGAUAAUGCAACAAGGAUGAGGAGGACACAUGGGGAGGGGAAAAGCGUGAACUGCCACAGUCAUCAUUACCCAUUCCCUCUUCUAGCACAGCUGAGUAACACAGCACAGCUCUCUCUGGUCUAAACAUCAACAUACCAGGAACAAAGAAGACAGAUGGUGUUGGAGAACAGGGUAGAGGGACUGUGGACGGCUGGCAGCCUCGGUGUGACAGACAAAGAGAGAGAGAACAAGAGGGCAAAGGAGGACAAGACAUCAAGUCAAUGACCAUAGAAAGAACACAGACUAUUGCAAGAAACACAAAACCAGAGCAGAAAAUUAUGACAUGCACUGUUGUGGCAGACAUGAAUCAAUUCCGAGAGUGACUCUGGGAAAACCAUUGCCGAUGUGAUCAAAUAUGACAGAAUCAUCAGGCUGUCAGCGGGGCUCUCGGAUGCUAAAUGUACCCGGUCUUCUCCAGAGUCAGUCGGGCUGUGCAGCACCAAGCCAACACCUUCAUCCAGG